rfam:Camelus ferus isolate Naran unplaced genomic scaffold scaffold3545, whole genome shotgun sequence.
AGGGUAUAGUUCAGUGGUAGAGUGCAUGCCUAGCAUGCACAAGGUCCUGGGUUCAAUCCCCAGUACCUCUG